UUUCCCUCAGGAUAGCUGGCACUCGCUUGAGCGAGUCUCAUCUGGUAAAGCGAAUGAUUAGAGGCCUUGGGGCCGAAACGACCUCAACCUAUUCUCAAACUUUAAAUGGGUGAGAUGACUGGCUUGCUUGAACGUUGAAGCCAUGUCAGACAUUUAGCGAAGGAUCAGAGUGCCAAGUGGGCCAAUUUUGGUAAGCAGAACUGGCGCUGUGGGA
rnacentral:rRNA from 1 species